AUUUUUCUUCCAUCUUCUCUCUCUUACUUUUGAUUUUUUGGGGGGAGGUGGUUCUGGGGUUUGAACUCAGGGCCUUGCACUUGUGAGGCAGGUGCAGUGCUGCUGAGCUAAAUUCUUGGCCCUGUUCUUAGGUUUUGUAUGAAACUACGAUAUAUAUCUUCUGCUAAUCUUCUUUACCUUUCUGUCAUAAGGUCCUAAAUUACUCACUACCACAAGGCAAUAGGUAUGUUCAGUUAUUCAUCAGACCGAUGAAGGACCUCCUCUGGCCCCACCAUUUGUGCUGGACAUCGAGGACAGAAAACCGCCUGAAUGGUUCUUGGGGGCUCACAGCUCUGAGUUCAGCUUCCGUGUGCGUCCUGCUUGGAACACAGAACAUGCCUGGAAGGGGUCGGAGACAUCAAGAGACAGGCCCUUUUCACGACUCUUUCUGACACUAGCCGUUUUGUACCUCUUCCCACCAAGGACUGAUGGGAUAUAGGAAGGCUUGUAGCAGGAAAACCAAAGCCACUGCCACAGUUGAGGAUGGGGGAGGACAAUGAGAGGACUCAGCCCCAUCAAAACUAGGGCAAAAAGCACUGGAGUCAGAUUUGGAGUCCAAUGUCCAGCUGGGUGAGUUAUUUGAACACUUUUACAGUUACUGAGAAUACUCAAUUUGUACCAUCAUUAAUGUUAGUGUAUUCAGAGCUUGUAAUACACGGGGACUAGGGGCAGAGCUUGGAAGUGGCAUCAGCUUCCCUCCCAUUGAGGUCUGAUACCCAAAUAUAAGAGUACAUGACUCAGCUGCCACCUGAACUUGAGAGGUCCACUCGGCCCUUGUCCGGUUUCCUUCAGGUCAAAUGUGGUUACUGAAGUUAGGCCACCAGCAUCUACAUGUUAAUGUUCUACCCCGAAAGAAGUCCUGAAAAUAGGAAUAAGUUGCUCGGAGGUCAGUUGGGAGAACGUGGGCCUGCAGACCCGCUUCCAAGUUAAAGAUCUAUCUGCUUCAUAGCCAUCUUGGGCAAGAGUAGAGACUUCAUAGGGUCUGAAAGUUUUCUAAAGUAGAAUGAGCAGGUGAUCUUGAGUCAUAGCCUAAACUCUGCGAUUUGCAAGUCUGUAAGGUGGGGUAGGGGACCCACAACCUUUGUAUUAGAAACUGAGAAGCCUCAUGGAAAAUCAUGUCCCAGAGUGGUAGGAGUCAUCUGACAAGCUUUGUCUGAGGCCCAGAGUUGGAGGGUCAGCUGAUUGCAACAGCGUUACCAUGUGCUUCUCACACUUCCCGACGAUGAGUCCUUAGACCGCUAAAGGGAGCUGCACAAAGCACGUGGCCCCUUCUGACUCCUGUAUUAAACAUCCAUCCCUUCCGUGGUUUUGGCAUUCUCUGUAGGUCAUAAUUGCCAUUUAAAUGUUUAACUCAACGUUUUUGAAAUACAAGACAGGUUCCAGAAAGCUUUGCCAACCCUAACUAACCCUUAUGUCUCGCUAACAGCUUGAAUCUGUGGAGAAAAAUGCUCC
rnacentral:lncRNA from 1 species